AACGCUAGCUACAGGCUUAACACAUGCAAGUCGAGGGGAAACGACAUCGAAAGCUUGCUUUUGAUGGGCGUCGACCGGCGCACGGGUGAGUAACGCGUAUCCAACCUGCCCACCACUUGGGGAUAACCUUGCGAAAGUAAGACUAAUACCCAAUGACGUCUCUAGAAGACAUCUGAAAGAGAUUAAAGAUUUAUCGGUGAUGGAUGGGGAUGCGUCUGAUUAGCUUGUUGGCGGGGUAACGGCCCACCAAGGCUACGAUCAGUAGGGGUUCUGAGAGGAAGGUCCCCCACAUUGGAACUGAGACACGGUCCAAACUCCUACGGGAGGCAGCAGUGAGGAAUAUUGGUCAAUGGACGAGAGUCUGAACCAGCCAAGUAGCGUGCAGGAUGACGGCCCUAUGGGUUGUAAACUGCUUUUAUAAGGGAAUAAAGUGAGUCUCGUGAGACUUUUUGCAUGUACCUUAUGAAUAAGGACCGGCUAAUUCCGUGCCAGCAGCCGCGGUAAUACGGAAGGUCCGGGCGUUAUCCGGAUUUAUUGGGUUUAAAGGGAGCGUAGGCCGGAGAUUAAGCGUGUUGUGAAAUGUAGAUGCUCAACAUCUGCACUGCAGCGCGAACUGGUUUCCUUGAGUACGCACAAAGUGGGCGGAAUUCGUGGUGUAGCGGUGAAAUGCUUAGAUAUCACGAAGAACUCCGAUUG
rnacentral:rRNA from 1 species